rnacentral:ribozyme from 14 species
CUGUCACCGAGAGAAAGAAAGCAAAAGUCUGUCAAAAUAAUGGGGAAAGAAAAAAAGUAACAAGUGGACUUCAACUUUGUUCUUACUUAUUUUCCCCUCUCCACCUCCUCUUCCAAUCCUUCUAUUCCUUUUU